AGAGAGAGCAACAUGUCAAACCCUGGUUAUGGAGCAUGUUGGAGGAUCAAGUCUAUGACAGCGCUGUGACUGGUUUGUUGUUUUGCCGGGAGGAAGCUGCAUCUGAACAAACCACUUCAGGAACGAGGCACCAUCAGAUGAUGACAGUUGUGGCCUCAGUGGUGGAGGUGGUUUGUGAGGCCACCUGUCCAACAGGUAAAGCUCAUGUAACAGGAAAAGCAAAAGGAAGAAGACUCUGGUGAUUUCCUGUCCACUCCAACUCCUCACUGGUUGGAGGAUCCAGCAACUAGGCAUCAAUUCCCCCCGGACAGCAUCCACACUCGGCCGAGGCAGAGACUCCUCGAACACGGACUGCACCGCCAGCACGCUCAGGCCACCCUGAGGCAGGAGAAAACAUCAGCGGAUCCAGAGCAGCCUUUUCGUCAGCCCGGGGGCGACUCUGCACUGACACUGAUACCAACCUGUCCGUCUAACACCGGCCUGUUGCCAUGUGGCAGCGGAGCCGAGGUGCCGCUGUUGUAGCCCGACGUGGGACCGGAGGACAGACUCAGACUGGAUCCUGUGCACAAGGUGCUGUUGCUGAUUCUUGUCCGGUGCUUCAGGUCAUCCUGCUGAAAAGAAGACAGCUUUUCAUUAAAAGCGGGCACUUAUAUGCAUGUUUUUACAUACCAGAAGGAUCUUUAACUUUUUCUCUGCAGGUCUGAACCAAAAAAGUCAAACGUGGCUUAGAGAAGGUUGAUGUUUGUGGACGGCUCAACCCAAACUGACCUUGAUCUCCUGGGAUAUGGCCUGCUGCUGCAGCCUCCUCUUCUCCUGCUCCGUCCUCUCUCGCAGUCGCUCUCGCGCUCUAGCGAUCUCCGUCUUGGCUUCUUCUCGGGCUCGGCUGUAGUCCCGCAGCAGCAGCUCGAUGUCGGAGGGAUAUCGGCCCUCGCCUUUGAGGGCAUCCGUUAAUCUGUGGGAGUAUCCAGGAGAAUACAAAUGAAACAGCGGCCGCAGUUAAUCAACUACUUUUACAGACUUUUUUGAAAUGACACAACUCACCUGGUGCCGUUCCCGUCCUUGCGCUGAACGUUGGUGGCAGCAGAGGAAAUGGCCUCCGGAUGCAAGCAGGCGGCGUGUUUGCUGGGACUCAGGCUGCGAGCCCUCCGAUAAGUCCGGAGGCGUUCCUCUCUUUCCUGCCUCAACCCCUCGAUGCUCCGCCGGUGUCUGCGAGGACAAUCAAUGAAACCUGCUCAGUUUACAGUUAAAAACCUCAGAUUGAGGAAGUGGCUUAAGAGGGAGCCGCCGACGGUGAGAGUGGAUAUCCACUGUGGAAGAAAUAUGUGAAAUGGAAUUGCUGACCUUCUCCCUAAGACUGUGUAGUGAUAAGGCCCAGAAAUAUUGGAGGAAAUGGCUAAAGUAUAUGAGUGAGAGACUGUUAUAGAGCAAUUCCCCCAGUGUUUAAUUUGUAUACUAUGAUGGAUGUUUAUUGUCACUUAAUAUCUUGGACUGAUUGGAAAUCACAUUGGCAUUGGAAAUUUCCUUGUUGAUAUUAUUACCCACGAUUGUUUUAUCAACUGUGUUCCCCUGACUGGUUUUUACCUUACGGAUUUAUCUGACAAGACACCUUCCCUACUCUGCAUAUUGGAUUGGCUGGCUGGCCUCUCCUCUCACCCAGGAACUAUAGUAACCCUUUAUUACCGAGAACUAGGGCUGUUCGAUUAAUCGAUUUUAAAUCGUUAUCGCGAUUAUGUAAUUA